AAACUCUCUAGAUACACUCUCUCAACCUCUAGCCAACGAAUUUGCCUUUCCCAUAAGCUCAUAAUCAAAGCCAAACUAUCACAAACCACAAAUCAGAAGCAUCAAGAAGCCAGAAAUCAAAAAUCAAGCUUGAAAAGGUAGGAAAUCCUAAAUUCUAGAAAUCCUUCGAUUCGAUGUUAAUUGAUGCAAUUGAUUGUUUAAAGUUGUGUAAUAGAGAGUCUAUUAAUGUUCUGGAUUGUUAAAUUCAUGACCCAUAACAUCAAAGUGCUCAAAAUCAAAGUUUUCAAACUUUGGAAAAAACCGAAAAUA
rnacentral:lncRNA from 1 species